CGGAGGCAGCAGUGGGGAAUUUUCCGCAAUGGGCGAAAGCCUGGCGGAGCAAUACCGCGUGAGGGACGAAGGCCUGUGGGUUGUAAACCUCUUUUGUUAGGGAAGAUAAUGACGGUACCUAACGAAUAAGCAUCGGCUAACUCCGUGCCAGCAGCCGCGGUAAGACGGAGGAUGCAAGCGUUAUCCGGAAUUAUUGGGCGUAAAGCGUACGUAGGCUGUUUCGUAAGUCUGUUGUCAAAGAGCGAGGCUCAACCUUGUAAAGGCAAUGGAAACUGUGAGACCAGAGAGAGAUAGGGGCAGGAGGAAUUCCAGGUGUAGCGGUGAAAUGCGUAGAUAUCUGGAAGAACACCAGUGGCGAAAGCGUCCUGCUGGAUCUCAACUGACGCUGAAGUACGAAAGCUAGGGGAGCGAAUGGGAUUAGAAACCCCAGUAGUCCC
rnacentral:rRNA from 1 species